CAAAGGGAAGCGGACCGGUGACAGCGAGCAAAUCCCAGAAAUAACGUCCCAGUUCGGAUUGUAGUCUGCAACCCGACUACAUGAAGCUGGAAUCGCUAGUAAUCGCGGAUCAGAAUGCCGCGGUGAAUACGUUCCCGGGUCUUGUACACACCGCCCGUCACACCAUGGGAGUCGGAAAUGCCCGAAGUCAGUGACCCAACCGUAAGGAGGGAGCUGCCGAAGGUGGAGCCGGUAACUGGGGUGAAGUCGUAACAAGGUACC
rnacentral:rRNA from 1 species